UACGUAGGGGGCUAGCGUUGUCCGGAAUCAUUGGGCGUAAAGCGCGCGUAGGCGGCCCGGUAAGUCCGCUGUGAAAGUCAAAGGCUCAACCUUUGAAUGUCAGCGGAUACUGCCGGGCUAGAGUCCGGAAGAGGCGAGUGGAACUCCUGGUGUAGCGGUGGAAUGCGCAGAUAUCAGGAAGAACACCAACGGCGAAGGCAGCUCGCUGGGACGGUACUGACGCUGAGGCGCGAAAGCGUGGGGAGCAAACAGGG
rnacentral:rRNA from 1 species